rnacentral:rRNA from 1 species
AUUGAACACUGGCGGCAUGCUUUACACAUGCGAGUCGAACGGCAGCGCGGGCUUCGGCCUGGCGGCGAGUGGCGAACGGGUGAGUAAUGCAUCGGAACGUGCCCAGUAGUGGGGGAUAGCCCGGCGAAAGCCGGAUUAAUACCGCAUACGACCUGAGGGUGAAAGCGGGGGACCGAAAGGCCUCGCGCUAUUGGAGCGGCCGAUGUCGGAUUAGCUAGUUGGUGGGGUAAAGGCUUACCAAGGCGACGAUCCGUAGCUGGUCUGAGAGGACGACCAGCCACACUGGGACUGAGACACGGCCCAGACUCCUACGGGAGGCAGCAGUGGGGAAUUUUGGACAAUGGGGGCAACCCUGAUCCAGCCAUGCCGCGUGCGGGAAGAAGGCCUUCGGGUUGUAAACCGCUUUUGUUCGGGAAGAAAUCCUCUGGGCUAAUACCCCGGGGGGAUGACGGUACCGGAAGAAUAAGCACCGGCUAACUACGUG